UACGUAGGGUGCGAGCGUUGUCCGGAUUUAUUGGGCGUAAAGAGCUCGUAGGCGGUUUGUCGCGUCGGCCGUGAAAUCUCCACGCUUAACGUGGAGCGUGCGGUCGAUACGGGCAGACUUGAGUUCGGUAGGGGAGACUGGAAUUCCUGGUGUAGCGGUGAAAUGCGCAGAUAUCAGGAGGAACACCGGUGGCGAAGGCGGGUCUCUGGGCAGUAACUGACGCUGGAGGAGCGAAAGCGUGGGAGCGAACAGG
rnacentral:rRNA from 1 species